AUAGUGCGAAGGAAGAUGAAUCCUUCUUUAGUGCGAAGGAUGCAACCCGGGUCGCACCCGAACGGGGGCUCAGGCUCAGGGCUCUAAACUUUGCUUUCUCUCUGUUGAAGAGGCGGUGAUGAUGAAUGCCGCCGCCGCCGCCGCCUCCACCAUGCCAUUUCUUUUUAAAGCUUUGGUGAGGCUGCUGCUCCGCGGGCAACUGCUGCACCUAUCAUUCUCGUUGAGAAGAUCGCAGAGCCAGAGUGCAGGUAGGAGGGAGCCUCCUCUCUGAUGGAUCUCCGAAGCCCGUCAUUCAUCCGCCUGUACAGAUCUCAAAGCGAGCAGUGGAUGAUUCAACGGAUGGGCGCGAAGGAAGGAUAAUCCUUGUUUCCUGCAAAGGAUGCAACUACGAUCCGGAUCAGGGUCGAUUCUGAGUCCCUCCAUUCCUUGAGAUAAGUCCCUCCUGAUUAAUUUUUUUAUUCUCUAAGAAAUUUUAUUUCUUAUCCUUAACUUUGAAGUGAUUUCUAUACGAUCGGCUUAGUGUUUUGAUUCUAGGGUUUUUACUUUUCCUCAAGGAUUUCUUUAGUUCUGCAUUUUUCCCUAAAAAAAUAGUCAACCACCAUUCCACUCUCAUCCGACUUGCAAAAAACAAAUCUUGGGCGAAAUAAUGUUAUUAAGACUAUUACGAGCUUUUUUAAUUUUAAUAUUUCUAAGAAAUUAAAUUCUCAAAAUAUGAUCCCCAUUCCAAUCGUCGUGGUGCAUGCUGUGUCGGCAGUAAUUUCUCUUGUCGGUACAAUCUCGGCGCCAGUUCCCCAUUCAAUCGGUGUAGCUUCCCCUUUCAUUUUCUAAUCGGUUCGUACCGUAAAAAAGAAGAGACGAGAAAAAGCUGCCAACGAGACCUGACACCUUGUUACCAAAAAAAAAACGAAAAAAAAAUCUGACACCGAUGGGACAUGUCGUGUAUGGCGAGUAAUUGUGGCAUCUUAAAAGCGCUGCCUGCUCCCUCCCGAACAUCGAUGCUAUAAAAUUUACUAAAAAAAAUAAUUCGUAAAAAAAGAUUUAGGUAGCGGCGAGCCCUCUCUGUCUUGUCCACCUCUUAUCUAGUUUUUCUUAAUGUUUAUGCCAUUUGGCUGUUUAACAUAACAUUUAUUUAGAUAUUAUUUUUAAAAUAUUUAUGGUUCAAACAUUAGAUUUUUUUAUUUUUGGGUAAUCAUUGUUAAGCUUUUUUUUUUUUCUCGAAGUAUUGUUAAGCUUCUUCACAAAUCAUACUUGGGCGUAAGAGCACGUACUCUGCACAACCUGCCAGUCAGCAAGUGAAAUGAGAAAUUAAUAAUAUGGAUUUUUGAAAUUAAUCUCCAGCCUAGCCAACAAUUAACCUGCUUCAAUUAGGCUUGAUAAGGCUCAAAUAUAUUAUAUAUUAAAAAAAUUGUAGCGAUAUUUUUUAAAUUUUGAUCUAUUUAGAUUUGUAUGCAAAAAAAAAAAAAAAAAUGAAUCUCAAAAUUUAAUAAAAUUACAAAAAAGCCCAACUUUCUGUCUCCAUUAGAUAAUGUUAUGACGUGAGGAAUAUCUGAGAAAUUAAAUUGUAUAAAACAUCAUAAAUAUUGUUCUCAGAAGUUUCUUGAUUUUAGCGCGAAGUGGAGUGGAGGGAAAGAAAUAUCACGUGACUGACUAUGUUCUUCCAUCCUGCGCUUCUUUUCCAUCAGGUCUAUGUGCCGCAUCAGACAUAGUGAAGGAGACGAUGGAGUAAAGAAGAGAGGGGGAGGAUGAUAGAGUGGAGGAAGAAAAAAGAAGAUAGGAUGGAAGAUAAAAAGAAAGAUAAAUUUAAGAUAGAAGAACCUGGAGCCAAUGAAUUUUUUUAGCUUCAGAUUCCUCCCUCCUUGAUCCAUCUCUCACGCACUUUGCAAUCCUUGAUCUUAGGUGUGGCCUUUGGGAGUUCGUGGGAGUGUCCUCGAAUGCCACAGAAAUCAAUAAAAGCUUGGUGUGGCUCUCAUCUCGUGUGGCUUUCUCUCUUUCUCUUUAUUUGUUUCUAUCUUUCUGUGUGCUAUCAAAUACAGCCCACAUCUCGUGUGGCUUUCUCUCUUUUUCUUUAUUUGUUUCUAUCUUUCUGUGUGCUAUCAAAUACAGCCAGGGAAAGGAAAAGAAGAAGAGAUCAAUGAUAAAUAGAGGAGAAGAGGAGACAUGGAGAAAGGAGAGUUGAGCGGGGCACUCUUAGGAAAGGAGUUGGAUGGGGUGGGAUUGGUGAGGACAUGGGGACUCGAAGAAGCUGUGGAGAAUUGUUACGUCGGUCAUUUUUAUAGCAUGAACGUCAUCAUCCAAGCCUUUGCCGGCCACCUUGGUGACCUCGAGUUAGCUGUCAUGUCCAUUGCCAAUACUGUCAUGAGCUUCAACUUUGGCCUUAUGGUUGGGUGGUGGGAGAAGCCUACUCUUAUCCUUCCAGUAGAAUAUAUGAGUGACAAUGCUGCGAUGAGUGAUGAAACGUGGAGGUAGAUUGUGCUACAGCAUCAAGGGUACUGCAAAAGCUCAAUAUUCAUCUAUGCUAGUCAGUUUGUGUUAUGUGAGGAUGAUCAGAAAGGAGUGGGGGCAGAUUCCUUGAUCUGAUGGAAACAUUCUUAUGAGCCACUGAGGAUUGGCCUUUGGCGCGAGCUUGGAUGGUUUGAAGGGCUAAAUCUGGAAAUACUGUUGCAUAGCUUUUCAGCUGCCGGUUCUGCUCCAUAUUGCGUUGCUGGUUGGCUGGUAAUUGAAAAAGUGUGCUGAAGGCAAGCUAUUCUGUGGCUGGAUUAUCUGAAACUUAACAGUGUUGAGGCCAAUGCAUAUAUAUUGGUCCAAUGAUGUAUAAACAUGCAUAUGUGGACCAAUGCUAUACAAAUAUGUUCCAGAAUACACUUGGUAGACCCUCCCCCUCCAAUGGAAGUUUAUUACUUGCGAUGUCCACGUAUGCCUAUUAGUGUGGGAUGCACAUACAAGUUGCAUCACGUAUGUGAAUGUUGUGAGUGAAGGUUUCUAUGCUAUUAGAUCUUUUCCCUUUCCUAUAUCAGAUGAUGUGGGAUUCUUGGAGGGUAUGUUGUUCCAUGGGCAAUUUGUUGCACUUCUUGGGUGCAGAGGAUCAUGCAAUAGUUGAUUAGUUGAUUUUCUGAUUUCAUCAUUUAUGAGAAAUUUAAAGUUCUUUUUU